rnacentral:rRNA from 1 species
AUACGGAGGACCCGAGCGUUAUCCGGAUUUAUUGGGUUUAAAGGGUGCGCAGGCGGCCAUUUAAGUCAGCGGUUAAAUCGUGGGGCUCAACCCCAUUCUGCCGUUGAUACUGGGUGGCUUGAUUGCGGUCGAGGUUGGCGGAAUUCGUUGUGUAGCGGUGAAAUGCAUAGAUAUGACGAAGAACACCGAUUGCGUAGGCAGCUGACCAGACCGCAAAUGACGCUCAUGCACGAAAGUGCGGGGAUCGAACAGGAUUAGAUACCCUGGUAGUCCGCACAGUAAACGAUGAAUACUUGUUUUCGGCGAUAUAAUGUCGGAGGCAAAGCGAAAGCGAUAAGUAUUCCACCUGGGGAGUACGCCGGCAACGGUGAAACUCAAAGGAAUUGACGGGG